UACUGUUUAUACUAAAAAAGUAGGACCCUCAUCAGUAGAUAGAGACUUAUAAGAAUAGUCAUACUACAUCUACGAAGUGUUAAUAUCAGGAAGCAGCUUCAAAGCCAAAGUGGCGGCUAGAGGUGAAGUGACCAG